rnacentral:rRNA from 1 species
UACGUAGGUGGCGAGCGUUGUCCGGAUUUACUGGGCGUAAAGAGCGCGCAGGCGGUCGUAUAAGUCGCGUGUGAAAGCCCCCGGCUCAACUGGGGAGGGUCACGCGAUACUGUUCGACUCGAAGGCAGGAGAGGGAAGUGGAAUUCCCGGUGUAGUGGUGAAAUGCGUAGAUAUCGGGAGGAACACCAGUGGCGAAGGCGACUUCCUGGCCUGUUCUUGACGCUGAGGCGCGAAAUCUAGGGUAGCAAACAGG